rnacentral:lncRNA from 15 species
CUCUGAUCAGACAAACAAACAAACCUUUUCAGAACUCGGAUUUUAAUCUCAGUGUUUUAACCUUUAAUCACUGAUCACUAUUGAUUGAUUAGUAAUGGAGAAUGUUGAAUUGAUUGAUAACUGAAGUGUAAUGAGAUGAAUCCAUUCAGAGGAAUGUGAACCAACGUCACAGGUGCAUUGUGGGAUCUUCACGUCUGUUUGACAAUCCCACAAUGCACCUGUCACAAUAACCUGAUGCUGAGAAACUGAACUGAACAGCUGAUUUCCAGUGAAUGAGUGAGUAAUGAAUGAGUGAUGUAAUAUUGUCUCGUGAAAGGAAAAAUCUGAGGAUUUUUAAUCAGGUAUUGAUUAUUUACGUGCAGACAGUUAUUAUCUAUAUAUGUAUUCUAAUUAAUUCUAAUGAUUUAAUAACCAUCCCCAUUAGACUGUUGGUUAUUAAUGACCCUUACAGCUCCUGUCUGUAGGGUUUAGUGCCAUCUAGUGGUGUAACUGCAGAUUACAACUUCCUUGAUUCUACACUGAUAAAGAGCUUUAAGAAUUCUACAUAUGAUACAAACAACAACCAUAAGCUUUUGUGUUUGUGUUCAGGUUCAGUUCUUCCUGAUGAGUCGACUCCUGCUCCUCCUCCUGCUGCUCCUGCUGCUCAACUUCCUGUCAAAGCUGCUCGAAUGGCCCCCGCCAUCAAUACACAGGUUUCUGAGGAUGCUGACCGUCCAGUUGUGUCUGAACCUGCUGCUACAUAGUCUAGGCCUAUAGCAGCAUAACUAAGGGACCUCACCUGAUCCAGCCCUAACUAUAAUCUUUAUCAAAGAGGAAUGUCUUAAGCCUACACUUGAAUUUGGUGAGGGUGUCUGCCUCCCGAACCACAAAUGGAAGCUGGUUCCACAGGAGAGGAGCUUGGUAACUGAAGGCUCUGGCUCCUGUUCUACUUUUAGAGACUAUAGGAACCACAAGUAGCCCAACAUUCAGAGAACGUAGUGUUCUAGAGGGGUAAUAGGGUACUAUGAGCUCUUUAAGAUAUGAAGGGGCCUGACCAUGAAGAGCUUUAUAGGUGAGGAGGAGGAUUUUAAAUUCUAUUCUACAUUUUACAGGGAGCCAAUGCAGAGAAGCUAGUACAGGAGAGAUGUGAUCUCUUUUUCUAGUUCCUGUCAGUACUUCGUGCUGCAGCGUUCUGAAUUAAUUGGAGCGUUUGAAUGGACUUAUUGGGGCAACCUGAUAAUAAAGAGUUGCAGUAAUCCAGCCUUGAAGUAACAAAUGCAUGGGUUAGUUUUUCUGCAUCUGUCUGUGAUAGUAUGUGUCUAAUUUUUGUAAUAUUACGUAAAUGAAAGAAGGCAGUCCUAGAGGUCUGCUUUAUGUGGGAGUUAAAUGACAAAUCCUGAUCAAAGAUAACUCCAAGAUUCCUGACAGUGGUGCUAGAGGCCAAGUUAAUGCCAUCUAGAGUAUCUUAUAAAUAUCUUAUGUUAUAUAUGAGUUGAUAAAGGAGGCUUCAGAUGGGAUAAAGGAGGAAACUGCUGUUCUCUCCAGAGGUAAUGGUUGCUAACUGUAAUAAUAAUAACCAGGGAUGCACCGAUCCACAUUUUUUCACUUCCGAUCCGAUCCCGAUACCUGAAUUUGCAUAUCGGCCGAUACCGAUACCAGAGCUCUGUUUGCUUUAAUAUUAUUAUUAUCAUUAUUGUUGAUUUCAUAUGAGGCUGAAAUAAACUCCUCUCAACAGGCAAGUAUGAUAUGUACCUAUGUAUGCAUGUAUGUCCCAAAAGGCAACUUGAGGUAAGUAUAAGGUCAGAAAAGGAAGUCAGAAAAACAGGAAAUCCUGUUAACAGGAAAAAUCCCAUCCUGAAAACAAAUAUGCUACUGUAAGGGUUUCAAAUUGAUUGUCAUGUCAAUAUUUAUUAAAUUCCCAAAAUGUCAAAUAAUUGAAAUAUAAGGAAAGUGCAAUAAGUGUAAACACACACACACACACACACACACACACACACACACUAAUCCCUUUAGCUUUCACAUUGUCUGCCUGGAGUUUACCUUGUUUUUGGAAUGACUCCAGAAGUGAUUCCUGACAGCUCCUUUUGUCUUUCUUCCCCCUGGCUAAAACAUCCUCGUGCCCUUUCAUGUGGUGCUUUUUUAAAUGUUUGAUUGCGUUCGUAGUGUUGAACGACGCGAGGGAGCUUCUGCCUCUCUGAAUUCGGC